CGCGGCCUAUCAGCUUGUUGGUGGGGUGAUGGCCUACCAAGGCGACGACGGGUAGCCGGCCUGAGAGGGUGUCCGGCCACACUGGGACUGAGAUACGGCCCAGACUCCUACGGGAGGCAGCAGUGGGGAAUAUUGCACAAUGGGCGCAAGCCUGAUGCAGCGACGCCGCGUGGGGGAUGACGGCCUUCGGGUUGUAAACCUCUUUCACCAUCGACGAAGGUCCGGGUUUUCUCGGAUUGACGGUAGGUGGAGAAGAAGCACCGGCCAACUACGUGCCAGCAGCCGCGGUAAUACGUAGGGUGCGAGCGUUGUCCGGAAUUACUGGGCGUAAAGAGCUCGUAGGUGGUUUGUCGCGUUGUUCGUGAAAUCUCACGGCUUAACUGUGAGCGUGCGGGCGAUACGGGCAGACUGGAGUACUGCAGGGGAGACUGGAAUUCCUGGUGUAGCGGUGGAAUGCGCAGAUAUCAGGAGGAACACCGGUGGCGAAGGCGGGUCUCUGGGCAGUAACUGACGCUGAGGAGCGAAAGCGUGGGGAGCGAACAGGAUUAGAUACCCUGGUAGUCCACGCCGUAAACGGUGGGUACUAGGUGUGGGUUUCCUUCCCUGGGAUCCGUGCCGUAGCUAACGCAUUAAGUACCCCGCCUGGGGAGUACG
rnacentral:rRNA from 1 species